UCUUAGCAACCCUCCGACCGAGUAUGUCAGUCCCCUUGAAUGCACUGCUGUCACCGCUGAGGGGUCAGGCAGUGAGGUGUGUUCACGUUUGAGGAGCGCUGAGUGCAGACCAGAGGAGCUGGGGAGGCUGUGAGUGCGGGGGGGACCUGCCGAGAAUUUUUGUUGAGAAGCAGCUCGUUCCUGCUUUUUAUUAUUGUGAUGGACAUCAGCAGCUGCUCUUUUGGGAAAAUCUACCAUUGAUCAGAACGAAGAAACUUCCCUCUGCUUUGAAGAUGACAAACUCUUACCCCUCUAUAUGAAGUCCACAGAGUCUCAUCUUGAAGGUCACAGGGGUCAAAUGCGAGGCUGUGUUAGGCUGCAGUGCUGUCUGCCGAGGAGGAGGAGGAGGAUGAAUAAUAAAUGCAGUCUGAAGUUUGGAUUCAACGUGUUCAGACUACUGAGCAGAGCUGAGGCCUUUCCACGGCCCCGGCCCGAGCCAGUGCCCUAUGAUACGAUUCUUUGGGGGAGGGUUUGCGGAGGUGGUGGUGGUGGUGUAGGGGUAAUGAAUUGGAGAACCAAUUCGCGCCUGCCCUCCCCUCCCUCUGUGAGGAUCUCUCUCUCUCUCUCUCAUGCCUCUUCCUUGCUUUCCCUUUUAACCAGCGCGCCGCACUCCAGCCAGCCUGCGGCAAUGUGAGCGUUGCCAUGGCAACGUGGAAAGGACCACGGCGAUGGAGAGAGAGAGAGAGGAGGGGUGCAGCUCAUCAAUGUCUUAGAGCCAACCCCCCCCCCGUCCCCCACCCAAAUACACGCACACACACACACACACACACACUCAUUUAAGCUGUUGAAAGAACAAACAUCACAAAGGGCUGAAAUCUAAAAUGUGCCGCAGAGAAACAGAAAUUCUGCUGUAGCUCAUCUAUUUUUCUAGCUGUUUGGCUAUCUAGGUAUCACUCUAUCUCUCUAUCGUUCUAUCCAUUCAUCUAUCUAUCUGUUUGUUUGUGUUUUCUUUUUAUA